rnacentral:rRNA from 1 species
GUAAGGAAUAUUGGACAAUGGACGGAAGUCUGAUCCAGCCAUGCCGCGUGAAGGAAGAAGGCGCUCAGCGUUGUAAACUUCUUUUGGAUGGGAAUAAUAAUGUCGACGAGUUCGGCACUUGAAGGUACCAUCAGAAUAAGCACCGGCUAACUCCGUGCCAGCAGCCGCGGUAAUACGGAGGGUGCAAGCGUUAUCCGGAAUCACUGGGUUUAAAGGGUGCGUAGGCGGUUUGAUAAGUCAGUUGUGAAAUACCCCGGCUUAACCGGUGGUCGUGCGAUUGAUACUGUUGAACUUGAAUGAGGUUGAGGUAGGCGGAAUGUGGCAUGUAGCGGUGAAAUGCAUAGAUAUGCCAUAGAACACCGAUUGCGAAGGCAGCUUGCUGGGCCUGAAUUGACGCUGAGGCACGAAAGCGUGGGGAGCAAACAGGAUUAGAUACCCGAGUAGUCC